AUCGAACGCUGGCGGCAGGCCUAACACAUGCAAGUCGAGCGAGGGGCGGACGGGUGAGUAAUGGCUGGGAAUUGCCCAGUCGAGGGGGAUAACAGUUGGAAACGACUGCUAAUACCGAAUACGCCUGGAUUGGCCAGGUGGGAUUAGCUAGUUGGUGAGGUAAUGGCUUACCAAGGCGACGAUGCCUAGCUGGUCUGAGAGGAUGAGCAGCCACACUGGGACUGAGACACGGUCCAGACUCCUACGGGAGGCAGCAGUGGGGAAUAUUGGACAAUGGAGGAAACCCUGAUGCAGCCAUGCCGCGUGAGUGAAGAAGGCCGUCGGGUUGUAAAGCUCUUUCGUCGAGGAGGCGUUACUCGCAGAAGAAGCACCGGCUAACUCCGUGCCAGCAGCCGCGGUAAUAC
rnacentral:rRNA from 1 species